CGGCAGGCUUAACACAUGCAAGUCGAGGGGUAUAGGUUUUCGGACCUAGAGACCGGCGCACGGGUGCGUAACGCGUAUGCAAUCUACCUUUCACAGAGGGAUAGCCCAGAGAAAUUUGGAUUAAUACCUCAUAGUAUAUCGAGUUGGCAUCAACAUGAUAUUAAAGAUUUAUCGGUGAAAGAUGAGCAUGCGUCCCAUUAGCUAGUUGGUAUGGUAACGGCAUACCAAGGCUACGAUGGGUAGGGGUCCUGAGAGGGAGAUCCCCCACACUGGUACUGAGACACGGACCAGACUCCUACGGGAGGCAGCAGUGAGGAAUAUUGGACAAUGGGCGCAAGCCUGAUCCAGCCAUGCCGCGUGCAGGAUGACGGUCCUAUGGAUUGUAAACUGCUUUUAUACGAGAAGAAACACUCCUUCGUGAAGGAGCUUGACGGUAUCGUAAGAAUAAGGAUCGGCUAACUCCGUGCCAGCAGCCGCGGUAAUACGGAGGAUCCAAGCGUUAUCCGGAAUCAUUGGGUUUAAAGGGUCCGUAGGCGGUUUAGUAAGUCAGUGGUGAAAGCCCAUCGCUCAACGGUGGAACGGCCAUUGAUACUGCUAGACUUGAAUUAUUAGGAAGUAACUAGAAUAUGUAGUGUAGCGGUGAAAUGCUUAGAGAUUACAUGGAAUACCAAUUGCGAAGGCAGGUUACUACUAAUUGAUUGACGCUGAUGGACGAAAGCGUGGGUAGCGAACAGGAUUAGAUACCCUGGUAGUCCACGCCGUAAACGAUGGAUACUAGCUGUUGGGAGCAAUCUCAGUGGCUAAGCGAAAGUGAUA
rnacentral:rRNA from 1 species